rnacentral:rRNA from 1 species
CCUACGGGGGGCAGCAGUGAGGAAUAUUGGUCAAUGGACGAGAGUCUGAACCAGCCAAGUAGCGUGAAGGAUGACUGCCCUAUGGGUUGUAAACUUCUUUUAUAUGGGAAUAAAAUGUUCCACGUGUGGGCUUUUGUAUGUACCAUAUGAAUAAGGAUCGGCUAAAUCCGUGCCAGCAGCCGCGGUAAUACGGAGUAUCCGAGCGUUCUCCGGAUUUAUUGGGUUUAAAGGGAGCGUAGGUGGAUUGUUAAGUCAGUUGUGAAAGUUUGCGGCUCAACCGUAAAAUUGCAGUUGAAACUGGCAGUCUUGAGUACAGUAGAGGUGGGCGGAAUUCGUGGUGUAGCGGUGAAAUGCUUAGAUAUCACGAAGAACUCCGAUUGCGAAGGUAGCUCACUGGACUGCAACUGACACUGAGGCUCGAAAGUGUGGGUAUCAAACAGGAUUAGAUACCCGGGUAGUC